UAGCAAGCCUCCAGCGUGCUUGGGUCUGCGGUGACCCUAUGCAUUCCUUUAGUGCUUGCUAGAACAGUUUUGAAACGGUUUGAGGCCUUGCCCUGCUCCAUCCAGAGCAAGGUUAUAGAAAUUUCAGACAAUG
ensembl:snoRNA